rnacentral:rRNA from 1 species
UACGUAGGGUGCGAGCGUUAAUCGGAAUACUGGCGUAAGCGUGACGCAGGCGGUGAUGUAAGACAGGUGUGAAAUCCCCGGGCUUAACCUGGGAACUGCAUUUGUGACUGCAUCGCUGGAGUGCGGCAGAGGGGGGAUGGAAUUCCGCGUGUAGCAGUGAAAUGCGUAGAUAUGCGGAGGAACACCGAUGGCGAAGGCAAUCCCC